GCAAAGCCGAGGGGGGAGGGGAGGGGCGGCCAGCGCGAACCCAGGCCGAAGGGUGCGUGGAGCCGGAGGCUGCUGGAGGGGGCGGCGGCUGCUGCUGGCGGCUUGGAGAAAGUUGCCCCUUAUGCAGAUGGCAACUGAGGUAAAAUGCACACUUGCUGCCCCCCAGUAACUUUGGAACAGGACCUUCACAGAAAAAUGCAUAGCUGGAUGCUGCAGACUCUAGCGUUUGCUCUAACAUCUCUCGUCCUUUCGUGUGCAGAAACCAUCGAUUAUUAUGGGGAAAUCUGUGACAAUGCAUGUCCUUGUGAGGAAAAGGAUGGCAUUUUAACUGUGAGCUGUGAAAACCGGGGGAUCAUCAGCCUCUCUGAAAUUAGCCCUCCCCGUUUCCCAAUCUACCACCUCUUGUUGUCUGGAAACCUUUUGAACCGCCUUUAUCCCAAUGAGUUUGUCAAUUACACUGGGGCUUCAAUUUUGCAUCUGGGUAGCAACGUGAUCCAGGACAUUGAGACUGGGGCUUUCCAUGGGCUGAGGGGUUUAAGGAGAUUGCAUCUGAACAAUAAUAAACUGGAACUUCUGCGUGAUGAUACCUUCCUUGGCCUGGAGAGCCUGGAGUACCUACAGGUCGAUUACAAUUACAUCAGUGUCAUUGAACCCAAUGCUUUUGGGAAACUGCAUUUAUUGCAGGUGCUUAUCCUCAAUGACAAUCUCUUGUCCAGUUUACCCAACAACCUUUUCCGUUUUGUGCCCUUAACGCACUUGGACCUGAGGGGGAACCGGCUGAAACUUCUGCCCUAUGUGGGGCUGUUGCAGCACAUGGAUAAAGUUGUGGAGUUACAGCUGGAAGAAAACCCCUGGAAUUGCUCCUGUGAGCUGAUCUCUCUCAAGGAUUGGUUGGACAGCAUCUCCUACUCGGCCCUGGUGGGGGAUGUGGUUUGUGAGACCCCCUUCCGCUUACACGGCAGAGAUCUGGACGAGGUGUCCAAGCAGGAACUUUGCCCAAGGAAACUUAUUUCAGAUUAUGAGAUGAGGCCACAGACACCUUUGAGCACCACGGGGUAUUUACACACUACCCCCGCCUCGGUUAAUUCUGUGGCCACUUCUUCCUCUGCUGUUUACAAACCCCCCUUAAAGCCCCCUAAGGGGACCCGCCAACCCAACAAGCCCAGAGUGCGCCCCACCUCUCGGCAGCCCUCCAAGGACUUGGGCUACAGCAACUAUGGCCCCAGCAUCGCCUACCAGACCAAAUCUCCGGUGCCUUUGGAGUGUCCCACCGCGUGCACUUGCAACCUACAAAUCUCCGAUCUGGGCCUCAACGUCAACUGCCAGGAGCGCAAAAUCGAGAGCAUCGCAGAGCUGCAGCCCAAGCCCUACAACCCCAAGAAAAUGUAUCUGACGGAGAAUUACAUUGCAGUUGUGCGCAGGAGUGACUUCCUGGAGGCCACGGGGCUGGACCUCCUACACCUGGGCAACAACCGCAUCUCAAUGAUCCAGGACCGCGCCUUCGGGGAUCUAACCAACCUGAGGCGUCUCUACCUAAAUGGCAACAGGAUUGAGAGGCUGAGCCCGGAGCUGUUCUAUGGCCUGCAAAGCCUGCAGUAUCUCUUCCUCCAGUACAACCUCAUACGUGAGAUUCAGUCUGGGACUUUCGAUCCGGUCCCAAACCUCCAGCUGCUAUUCCUGAAUAACAACCUCCUGCAGACCAUGCCCUCAGGCGUCUUCUCAGGCCUGACCCUUCUCAGGCUGAACCUAAGGAGUAACCAUUUCACCUCCCUGCCGGUGAGUGGAGUUCUGGACCAGCUGAAGUCACUCAUCCAAAUCGACCUGCAUGACAACCCUUGGGAUUGCACCUGCGACGUGGUGGGCAUGAAGCUGUGGGUCGAGCAGCUCAAAGUGGGUGUCUUGGUGGACGAGGUCAUCUGCAAGGCUCCCAAGAAGUUUGCGGAGACGGAUAUGCGUUCCAUUAAGUCGGAGCUGCUGUGCCCAGACUACUCGGACGUGGUGGUGUCCACGCCCACGCCCUCCUCCAUCCAGGUCCCGGCGACGACCAGCGCGGUGACCCCCGCGGUCCGGCUGAACAGCACCGGGGCCCCCGCGGGCUUGGGCGCGGGUGGAGGCGCGUCCUCGGUGCCCUUGUCCGUGUUGAUUCUCAGCCUGCUGCUGGUUUUUAUCAUGUCCGUCUUCGUGGCCGCCGGGCUCUUCGUGCUGGUUAUGAAGCGCAGGAAGAAGAAUCAGAGCGACCACACCAGCACCAACAAUUCCGACGUGAGCUCCUUCAACAUGCAGUACAGCGUGUACAGCGGCGGCGGCGGCGCGGGAGGCCACCCGCACGCGCAUGUGCAUCACCGCGGGCCCGCGCUGCCCAAGGUGAAGACGCCCGCGGGCCACGUGUAUGAGUACAUCCCCCAUCCCCUGGGCCACAUGUGCAAAAACCCCAUCUACCGCUCCCGAGAGGGCAACUCCGUGGAGGAUUACAAAGACCUGCACGAGCUCAAGGUCACCUACAGCGGCAACCACCACCUGCAGCAACAGCCGCCGCCGCCGCCGCCGCAGCCUCAGCAGCAGCCCCCGCCGCAGUUGCAGCUGCAGCCGGGGGAGGAGGAGAGGCGGGAAAGCCACCACUUGCGGAGUCCCGCCUACAGCGUCAGCACCAUCGAGCCCCGGGAGGACCUGCUGUCGCCGGUGCAGGACGCCGACCGCUUUUACAGGGGCAUUUUAGAACCAGACAAACACUGCUCCACCACCCCCGCCGGCAAUAGCCUCCCGGAAUAUCCCAAAUUCCCAUGCAGCCCCGCUGCUUACACUUUCUCCCCCAACUAUGACCUGAGACGCCCCCAUCAGUAUUUGCACCCGGGGGCAGGGGACACCAGGCUGCGGGAACCGGUGCUCUACAGCCCCCCCAGUGCUGUCUUUGUAGAACCCAACCGGAACGAGUAUCUGGAGUUAAAAGCAAAACUAAACGUUGAGCCGGACUACCUCGAAGUACUGGAAAAACAGACCACAUUUAGCCAGUUCUAAAAGCAGAGAAACUCCCUUGGAGCUUUUGCGUUCAAAACAAACAAGCAAGCUGACACACACGAUGAACACAUUUGAUUAAUUGUGUUGUUUCAACGUUUAGGGUGAAGUGCCUUGGCACGAGAUUCUCAGCUUCGGCGGAAGAUACUGAAAGGAUCCACAUGUACUGGCCCCUCAGAAGACCAAAUGAUGGAUUGUACAAAUCUCUCCGCAAUGUCUUUAACCCUCUGGGCAGCACGCAAUGAUGAUAGCCACAAACAGGAUCUCUGUAAGAUGGGGCUACUGUUGUUACAGUCUCAUAUGUAUCCCAGCACAUGUAAUUUUUUAAAUAGUUUCUGAAUAAACACUUGAUAACUAUGUCAAAUAUGAGGGACUGAAGUAAUGAUUACUUAAGGUGCAAUUAAAUAGCUAUGUGUGAUUGACUGAAUCUCCAUUAUUAACAAUUAGGACAUAGUAGCUAACUUGUAUUCUUAAUAUUAAAAAAAUUUCCCUUAAUUAUCAAAUUUGAAUAUAUGUAUAUAUAUAUGUGUGUGUGUGUGUGUGUGUGUAAAAUUCACCUUUGCAAAUUCAGGGAAUUAAUGUUUUUCUAAAUGUGGCAUUUAAUGUGUUUAUUAAUGAAAUUUCAAUUGUAUACUUUCUUUUCUUACUGAAGUAGUCAUCUAAUACAUGGACCGUGGUAAGUAAUAUACUGCCUAUUCAUUUUUCUCCCAAGGUUAUGUAUUUUGUUAUGUCAGUAUUAUUUAUUCAGUCUCUAAUUCCUAUAGUUUCCUAAUUUUCCCAUAGUCUUCCUAAUUUUAACUCAUGUAAAACUACCUUCAACAAUUAUGAUGGAUACUUUAUCUCAAGUUGAUCUAUAUCCUAAAUGUUCAAAAGUUGGUAAGUAUAAGCUGUUCAUCUAUGAGUUAGGCUUGCCAGUAAAUUUAGGUUUGUACUUAAGGGUAGGAAAUGUUUGAACUAACCUGAAACUUAAAGAGCCAUGUGCUUCGUUGCUAUUGGUGGAUCUUCCUAUAAUCUCACCAGGAAUAUGUACAAUAUCAAGGGCUGUUCAUGAACUUUAUGUUUAAAGAACACUUUCCAUGGCAUUCUGCCACAAAGAGGCAGCAUUCACCCAUGAGUAAAUUGACAGUAACUGCUUGAAUUCAGAUUGAACAGGUAGUAACAGUUUCCCUGAGGAAUUGAAAAAAAAAAAAAUUAGUAAUCCUACACCGGUCAAGUGAAAUGAACUAUCCCCAUUCUGUGCAACAUUUUCCCUUCCAAAAUUUUCUUACAAAGGGGAAAGUAACAAGCUUAAUACUGCCAUGAUAUUAUCGUGGAAAGAAACAGAAAAAGUCUCUCUCACUCUUCAUCUACCUCUUCCGUAUUAGAUCCAGGAUUAGAAAAGAAAAAUAAAUAAUAGCAUUUGACUUCACAAUUGAGGUUGUUAUUAAUUUUUCUUCACAAUGGGAGUUAUUUUUUCGAUGUCAAAAUCACUUCCUCAAUGUUAUAUGUAGAUGUGAAAAUAUUGCAUGAAUUAUAAAAUAUUAACACAAGGUGGAAUCUUCCCUGUAACUAAGUUUUAUUUCUUAAUUGAUGCAUAAAAAGUAAGAGAUAAGAAUUACAUGAAAUUAAAGCUGUAGUUCUGAACAAUAUAAGUAGCUUCCAAAGAAAGUUUGUUGAUGCAUUUUUCAAAGAUUUACAAAAUAAUAUUAUUAUUUCAAGCCAGCACUGCUGCAGAUAAUUUUGUCACAUACACUUUCUUUAGAUAGCUCAUUUGUACUUCUCCUCUUCCUAAGGUGUCCAACCUUUUUUUAAUCUCAAAAAUAGCAGUUAUAUGAUUUAUAAAAAGAGGUUACUUCUAAUUUUUAAAUUAUAUUUUUCCCAGUUGUAGUAAGAGGAUAAAAGCAAACUCAUCCCUGCUUUAAUAAACUUGAAAAUUUUUAACAUGUAGAAUUAUGAAACUGUGUAGAAUUAAAAAAUGAAUUAACGCAUACGAUAGAACAUAAGUUGUGUGGUUUGAAUAUUUGAUUUUUGGCUUUCCAGGUUGUUCACUGAGGAAACAAUUAAAUUGGGUAUAUCAGUGGUAUAUGAUUGGAUUAAGGAACCCUGCAAAUUCUCUCCAUAGAAUUUUAGAGAACAGCAUGUGAUGUUUCAGGCAUCAAUUAAAGUUUGGAUGCAAACUAAGCUUCCUCUUCGUGCUUGUCCCAUUUGCUAUGUUGCAUAAUCUCAAACAGAUGUAGUUCCAGGUAGGCAUUUUGAAAUCUUACCUUUGUCUGUAUAUGCGUAUAGCAUAAAUACUUAAAUUAUCUCAGCGAAAACAAAUAUAUUCUAUGUAAAUGUGAUAAUUGGUAUGCUAAUAUUCAAAAUUAUUUACAGCUAAACUAUUGAUUAAAGUUAUGUGUUAAUCAACUUUAGCAUAAAUAUACUGGGGACACAUCUUUCUUUUAGACACGAUUAUCACCUUUACACAUGUGAAGUGUAAGAUUUGGGUAAAUGUCCUGGAUAUGCAGUCCCUCACCACU